CGACUGGAAGGGUUAGAGCCAGGAUCCACCCCUUCCCAGACCUCAUUUAAGGGCUGACAGUGGAGGUGAGGGUUGUGGUUGCUGGAGAUCCCUGUCUACCUGAGGCCUUCUGAAGGGCACCUCACUCUCAAGAAAGCUGGACCAGCCUAAGACUGGAGCAAGUUCAUCAGCCCACAUCCAGCUAAUCUGGGACAACAAACAGACAACAUGCUUGCUGUGAAAAUAAAACUCCUCAUGUGGAUAACCACCAGGUUUUGGAAGCACAAAUACUCAUCUGCCACGUGUCAGAUGAGUCAGCCUGGAACACGAGCUGCGGGGAAAGAAUUCAGAUGCUUUGUAUAUACAGUGGCAACUUCUGAAGACUUAAGUCACUUGUAGAUGGUAGGAAUCCAAAGUGGAAACAUCCUGGUUUCACCAGAGGCACCAAAGUGCUCCUUACAAAGUGAUGCUUGUGCAAUGCUGGGGAAGUCUGGGAAUUCCCCAUAGUUCCACAGCUCUGGAGAAAGCCAGGCUAGCAGCCAGUAGUAUCUUCCACCAAUGUUUUGAAGUAAUUUUGCCAGUUGCCAUGCUUCCCUUUACGCACGAUGGAGGAGAACGCUCAGCAACCCACCCUGACUCAAAAGGACACUUUGGAAACAUCUGCUUUAAGGGAUGGCUUUGUUGCCUGCACGCAGGCAGCUUGCACCACUCAGUGUUGGCAGGUUUCAGACAAGAUGUGAAAGACGUGUGCCUUCCUUGAGCUGCAUUUGGAGGUGACAACUCUUACAGCAUCUGGAAUGCAGCUAGUAGCUUGCACAUAGGCAAGUUGAUGAAGUUAUGAAUUAAUCCUGCAUAUUAAGAUGAGGUGAAAUAAAGAGUUUAGGAAGCGUAAAACUAAGGUGCUUGAUUUUUUUACGGGAUAGAAAAGUAAACACUCCAAAAGAAAAACAACAGCUGAAGAGGGUAGAGACUCUCCUAACGUAUGAAUGUCAGUGCUGAACUCCAAGUCCCAGUGGUUUUUAAAAAUAGACUAUCCAAACACCUGCGAGGCCUCUUGUGUGCAGAUGGUCCUUCCUCCAGGAGGAGGCAAAGCCAGGUGACCUCUUACAGACCUUACCAGGCAUAUUUUUGUGAUUCCUACCACCAGCCUGUGGCCCUAUGAUGAGAUAUAGGAAAGCCAAUAUGGUGUCACAGGAUGGAGUUCCUGUGUUUCUUGGAGCUGCUUUGUUAAACUGGAGCAACAAUGACAUCAGAAAUGAAACAAAACCUAUGCUAAAAGGGGAUUGGCAAGAUUGCAGAGUCAACCACCCAAACAAAAGGAAAUGCCAAAUUUCAGACUGCCUUUCUCUUUCCUAGGCUAAACUACCUCCUCUUCUCCUUGGUCAUGAUGGACCACAUUUUAUUCAUAGAAUCAUAGAACAGCCUGGGUUGAAAAGGACCACAAUGAUC
ensembl:lncRNA